rnacentral:rRNA from 1 species
AUAGAACGCUGGCGGCAGGCCUGACACAUGCAGGUCGAGCGAGUGGCGGACGGGUGAGUAAUGUCUGGGAAACUGCCUGAUGGAGGGGGAUAACUACUGGAAACGGUCGCUAAUACCGCAUACCAUCGGAUGUGCCCAGAUGGGAUUAGCUAGUAGGUGGGGUAAAGGCUCACCUAGGCGACGAUCCCUCGCUGGUCUGAGAGGAUGACCAGUAACACUGGAACUGAGAAACGGGUCAGACGCCUACGGGAGGCAGCAGUGGGGAAUAUUGCACAAUGGGCGCAAGCCUGAUGCAGCCAUGCCGCGUGUGGGAAGAAGGCCUUCGGGGUGUAAAGCACUUUCAUCGAGGAGGCGUUACUCGCAGAAGAAGCACCGGCUAACUCCGUGCCAGCCGACGCGGUAAUUC